GACGAACGCUGGCGGCGUGCUUAACACAUGCAAGUCGAACGGAAAGGCCCUGCUUUUGUGGGGUGCUCGAGUGGCGAACGGGUGAGUAACACGUGAGUAACCUGCCCUUGACUUUGGGAUAACUUCAGGAAACUGGGGCUAAUACCGGAUAGGAGCUCCUGCUGCAUGGUGGGGGUUGGAAAGUUUCGGCGGUUGGGGAUGGACUCGCGGCUUAUCAGCUUGUUGGUGGGGUAGUGGCUUACCAAGGCUUUGACGGGUAGCCGGUCUGAGAGGGUGAACGGCCACACUGGGACUGAGACAGGGCCCAGACUACUACGGGAGGCAGCAGUGGGGAAUAGUGGAGAAUGGGGGGAAGCCUGAUCCAGCAAUGCCGCGUGUGUGAAGAAGGACUGCGGGUGGUAAAGCACGUUUGGCAGGGAUGAAAAGCACUGGAUUAAUAACCCAGUGCGUUGAGCUAAACUGCAGAAGAAGCAACGGCUAACUAUGUG
rnacentral:rRNA from 1 species